AGACAGUGACUCAGCAGGCGAUGGAACCAUGAAAGCAUGCGUUCUUGAUCGCAAGAUCAUGAAACUAGGUCUUCUGAGUGUAACGAAUGGGAAAAUCCAGUAUCUAUCAAGGAGGACAUAGAUAAGAAUGGUGCAAUAUGUCGCAAACCUGUGAAUUGUAGGAGGGAUAUUAAAGCUAUUGCGGCUAUAUGUACUGGAAACAACAAUGACUUUGUUCGGACCAGGUUCAUGGUGGUUAAAAAAAUUGGUACCAAUGGUAUUCUCUCGAUUGAAGGAAAGCAAUGUAGGCGACAUAUCUGGUGUAAGGUGCAAGGCUCUUCUUCAAGACAAGCUCUAAGGGAUCAUGGAUAUAGUUGCUACUAAAUGUCUUUGUUUUGGUGUAAGGUGCAAGGCUCUUCUUCAAGACAUUGCAAUUGUCACUGGCUGAGUGGGGGUAGUGCAUGUCAUACAUGAACUCGUCCUCAAGGACCAACGAGGCAACAUUGAAGCCGCCGCCGUUCAGUACCUUCAUAGCUUGUCAACACUGGCAUCCAAAGACCAAUGGUCCUAGGCGUAUCGGUCUGACAUGAUCUUGUGUGGCUUCGGACGUGCUACAGCUGGGAUGGCCUCCCGAGGCUCGCGUGUGAUGUUGGCUGACGCUACUCGGCGAAGUGCUUCCGCAAGGUGCAGUGCCCCACCAUCGAGCAGCUCGCCAACUUCCUCAUGAUGCCUGGCUGCAACAACGGGAAAACGACCAUGGAGAUCAUCGACUACACCCACAGAUCAUCGUUGAUGCCAUCAUUGGUAGCUGCGCUGUGAGCCUCUCUCAGUUCCGUUCUUUUCUCUGCAAUCCUACUUGCCUGGUGAUGCUUGUUUCCGCGCACUUGUAGAUUAGUAUUAUUAGAUCAUGUCAGUUGUAUUAGUGGAUAUCUUCAGGAUAAUGUGUUGCUGUUAAGUUUAUUGUACUAUUUGCUGCUAUGACAUGAUCUUGGACGGUGUUGUAGUAGAACAACAUCGGUUUAAUUUGUGGCAGUAUACUUAUUGGCUUUGUUUGAUAGGUCUGAUUGGAAUGGUAGCUACACGUCAUGGGGGCCCAUUCUUGUGAGGCGAGUCCAUGUCGCCCGAAGCCCACCGUAGCAACCUCGACUCCGUUAUUCAGGAUCUCCUCGGCAUCGGAAACCCAAAGGGGCCGGGAAUGAUGGGGACUGCACCUGCUCGCUCCGGUGGUGUUGCUGUUGUGUUGGUUGUGGCCUCCUGCGCCUCGCGCAUGGUUGUAGGACAGGCGGCGGCGCCGAGUGAGGAUGGGCUGGAGAUAACCUGGCUGGUCUGACGCGUCACCGGGAACUCGUUUGUGGUGUUGCGAGAGAGCAACUUGAUGUGGAGUGCAAACUGCAUGCUAUAUAUUCAAGUUGAGAACCUGGUGGUGGAGCAGCAACGGCACCUACAUUGCGAGAUCAUGCAACAAGGCCACAUUCCAGAGUUCUACCUAUUGCGGUGCUUGGUGCUUGAUCCGGAAAAUCUGAGCUGCACAGUGUGUCAAGUUUUUCCACUGGCUAGCGAACAUUGGCCGCUGCUGGAGUGCCGCCUGCCUACAGCGUCGGGGACUCCAACACCACCCUAGCUGACUCCUCCGCGACCACGAGAUGGAAACAAUCCAACACAUGAUGAUGGGUUGCUGCUUCUGCUGCCAGGCCUAGUUUGAGUUCUUUCCUGGCUGCGGGAACUUGCAAACCGCCAAAGCAGGACGAUACACUCCAGGACUGAUGGUGCCAGGCCAAACAAGCGACACCAAAGCAUCUGCACAAAGGCCUCGUCUGCAUCGCUCGGCUGACACCUUGGCUAAUCUGGAAGCACCGCAAUGAAUGUGUUUCUAAAGGAGCCCGUGACCAACAUCAAGGAGGAAGUUGCCCUUUGGGCAAGAUCCUCUGUGUAAUGCUGUCGUAGACCUGGGAUACACACUUAGUUGCAUUUUGCGUUUUACGAGGCGUGUAACAACCAACUCUAUCUCUCUUGUCAACGAAAUGAAACACAAAGGUUUUUUGUGUUUUCUUGAAAAAAUGAACCUGGUCGUGGACCUGCAUGCAUACUGUUGUAUUGCCUAGAUGCCACCAGGUGUUGAAUUGUUGGUGCCUAUCUGCUGUUGGUCUUGCAAACGAACAUGCAUGUUGGAUGCUGGCAUUUGGUUAGCUGUUGAUUUGAACAAGUUCAGUGAAUUUGUUGUGCAAUAU